rnacentral:rRNA from 1 species
AACGAACGCUGGCGGCAUGCCUAACACAUGCAAGUCGAACGAGACCUUCGGGCCUAGUGGCGCACGGGUGCGUAACGCGUGGGAACCUGCCCUUAGGUUCGGAAUAACUCCCCGAAAGGGGUGCUAAUACCGGAUAAUGUCUUCGGACCAAAGAUUUAUCGCCUUUGGAUGGGCCCGCGUUGGAUUAGCUAGUUGGUAGGGUAAAAGCCUACCAAGGCGACGAUCCAUAGCUGGUCUGAGAGGAUGAUCAGCCACACUGGGACUGAGACACGGCCCAGACUCCUACGGGAGGCAGCAGUGGGGAAUAUUGGACGAUGGGCGAAAGCCUGAUCCAGCAAUGCCGCGUGAGUGAUGAAGGCCUUAGGGUUGCAAAGCUCUUUUACCCGGGAUGAUAAUGACAGUACCGGGAGAAUAAGCUCCGGCUAACUCCGUG